ACCCAAUUCAUUUUAAUCAAUUAAAAUAACACAAUUUAAGUCUUUAACAUGAUUAUAUCUCAAAUAAACAAUGAAACAAUACAAUUUGCGUACAAAAAAACCAACAUUGUCCCAUAUCGAGGUGUCACCAGUCAUGGGCAUCUAAUAACCAAUUAAAAGCAGGAAGAAUCUACAUAGUCUAUUACAGAACUAAAACAAGAGAAAAUAAGAUAGGUGGAGAAGCACUAUGCUAUGAACGCCGAGCAGCUACCUAGUGAACUCCGAACCGUCUGAGCUAGGAGCAAUCAACACUCGCUAGCGGGACCCGAGGCUCCUGUAUCUGCACACAUGGUGCAAGGAGUAAUAUGAGUACUCUGAUUCAGUGAGUAAUAACAACAAUGAAGACUUGGCGAUAAGAAAUCAUAUAAAAAUACAACAACGUGCUAUAAAGAGAUAGAGUAAAACCAGUAAAGUGCAACAAAACAGUGAAAUCUCAUAAAAACACCUUAUUUCUGUUUAAGCUUCUUUAAAAUACCUUUUUAACAGUUAAACAACUAAAUGACAUGUAGCUAGAAAAGAUAAAAACAUAAAAACCACCCCUCUGCACAAUUCUAACAGAAUUUGCCCCUCGAGCAAUAACAUGUAACAACACCAGCCCCUCGGGCUAUAUCUCAUAUUACAAUGGGUAUCCGCGCUCAUUGGGGUGUACAGACUCUGGGAGGGGCCCCUUACGGCCAAAGCGCAAUAUCAAGCCAUCUCGUGGCAUAAUCAAUAGGCUUUCGACCUCAUAUCAACAAGCCACCUCGUGGCGUACAAUCUCAGGCCCUCGCCUCAUAAUAAUAAAUCAGUGUAUCACUGUUGCGGCAUGCAUCCCGACCCAAAAGUAUCCUCACAACACGGACCCUCGGCCUUGCUCAGUCAGAAAUUUUUAAAAGCCACUAGAACACAGUAAAAUAUGAUGCUCAAUCGAAAAUAUCAUUUAAAGUAUUAAAACAGAGUAAACAUGGUUGAGUUAUGAAAAUAAUAUAAUAUAGCAUGACUGAGUACAGAUGUAAAAUCAAAACAGAGAGGAUGUAGCAGUAAACAAAUUCCCUAAGGGCCCAAAUAUGGUAUUCAGCCCAAAACAUGAUGAUAGCAAACAGUUUUCAAUCAAAUAUGCAGUAAAACAAUCAUUCAGGAUGGACUAAGCCACAAUCCGCAACGGUCACGACCCCGCGCUCACCCUCUAGUGUGUGUGUCACCUCAAUAUAGCACAACGAUGUGAAAUCCGGGGUUUCAUACCCUCAGGAUAAUAUUUACAAUCAUUACUCACCUCAAUCCGGUCCAAACUCUAUCCUGUGAUGCCUUUGCCCCUCGAAUCGGCCUCAACUCGUGUCGAAUCUAUCAAAAAUCAUAAUCAUGACGUCAAAGUAUGCUAAGGGAACGAAGCCCAUGCGAAGGAAGUCUUUUAUACCUUAUGGCCCAGGAUUUUCGCACAUGCGAUCCAGAACUUUCUCCUGCGCAACCGCUUCUAUGGUCUGAGCACCAUUUCUACGAACACCACUUAAAUCCCAGGCGCCGAAUAUGCGAAGCAAAUCCCGUAUCGGCGCUAUCGCAGGUGCGCCACCUCAACCGCUCAUGUGGUUCUAGCUGAUGCCUUCCUUAGAUCCUUCCGCUUAUGCUACUAGUCUUCCGCAUCUGCGGGGGUCGCACUUGCAGCCUCCAAACCGUAGAUGCAGUUAUGACAGCAGACUUAGCUUCAGCUGCUACAUCCAACUUCCAAACUUUCCAUCAACCACCCAAAAUCACCCCGAGGCCCACGGAACCUCAGCCAAAAGCACAACCAAGUCCUAUUACACUAUUUAAACUAAUACCAAUAUUCAAAACACUUGAAACAACAUCGAAUCGACCAAAACACAUCAGAUUCAAGCCUAAGAUUCUCAAAAUCUUUCGAAUUACGCUUUUGAUCAAAAAGUCUACCAAACCACGUCCGAAUGACCCUAAAUUUUGCACACACAUCCCAAAUGACACCAUGGACCUAUUGCAACUCUCGAAAUUACAUUCCGACCCCUAAAUCAAAAUCUCACCUAUCAGCCAAAAAAUGCCAAAAUUUCAAUUUCGCCAAUUCAAGCCUAAAUCUACCCUAGACCUCCAAAACAUAUUCUGAUCACGCUUCAAUAUCCCAAAUCAUCUCCUGAAGCUAUCUGAACCAUCAAAAUUCAAAUUCGAGUCCUCUAAUACAUAAUUCAACAUUUGGUUGACUUUUCCAACUUAAGCUUUCUCAAAAGAGACUAAAUGUCUCAAACCUUACCAAAACCUUUUUGAACCAGAGCCAAACCAACACGGUAAAAAAAAUACAGGUGAAUAAGGAAUUUAGAAUAGAAAUGGGGGAAACCCGAGUGGUAAAUCAUGAAACGAGCAGACGACUCAUUACAUCCUCCCCACUUUAACAAACAUUCAUCCUCGAACGAGUCAAAAAAAAUACCUAAAGCCUCAAACAUGUGAGGAUAUCUGCUCCACAUCUUUUGCUCGGUCUCCCAAGUAGCUUCCUCCAAGGGCCGACCUCUUUAGUGCACUUUCACUGAAGCUAUAUCCUUUGAUCUCAACUUUCGAACUUGAUGCUCCAAAAUAGCUGAUGGCUCCACAUCUAACUGUUGUCACACCUCCUUUUUCAUUGUGCACCCCCGCAAAGGGCGUAAAGGAGUAUUUCCAAUUAAAGAACAACCGGAACGGGAUUUGGUUAUUAGUUAUUCAGAGUUGCCACUUGGGAGAUUAAUGGUAUCCCAAGUCACCGAUUGAAUCCCGAAAAGAGGAAAAAGAUGACUCUGUUCACAAUCUGCGAACCAGAAAUCCGGAUAAGGAAUUCUAUUAACCCGGGAGAAGGUGUUAGGCAUUCCCAGGUUCCAUGGUUCUAGCACGGUCGCUCAACUAAUGCAUUUAGCUUUUAUCUGAUUUUAUUACAUAAAGAGCCUAUGUGUCGAUUUUUCUUUUUACCGCUUUUAUUUGGUAUAUUUAUUUGAGGAAGUGAACAUCGUUUAAAAUGUGUUUUCGGAUUGCGCCGCAUAAAAUGAACCUGUAAUCCUAGACACACUCUAUUCAAUAUUUUAGGAUUUGGAUUUGGGCCACAUAAAAUGCCCGCCCGUAUUUAGGAAUAUAAUUUAUUAAAGUUGCGCCUAAUAGAGUCUAAUGCGUUGUAAUAUUUUGGGAGAGCCGUGAAAUUCGCUAAACGGCCCUUCCGAUUUUCUAAAUAUUUUUAAAACUUUUAUUGGGGGUCCCGCAAUUUUGCAUUUUUAUUGGGCGAGGCUCGUCCCAUUUUUAUUUUAAAGGGCACACCUAAGAGCAACUAUGUUUUCUAUUUUGUUUUUGUCUCUAAUAAUAAAAGAAAUAUCCUAAUUUAUUAUAUUUAAAAUCCGGGUAUUAAAUUCAAGUCCGGGUCCAAAUAAAAGGAUAAACUUUUUAGCUUAAAACUCGCUACCUAACUCAAAACUCGAAUUCCAAAUACCAAUAAAGUCAUUUGAAGAAAAUAUGAACUGGGCCCAAAUGACUGGCCCCAUGAGACGGUCGACGGUCAGCCCCAAAUCAUGGAGUCGAUUCCUGGGCUGGGCAGACCAGAAAAUUCUCCAACUGAAGCCCAAUGCAUUCGGCCUGUUGUGAUGAAACUGGCCCAAACUGCCCACAUAUCAUCUUCAUUUAAACAAACAACUUCUAAGAACAAAUCAGGCUAUUCAAGCGUGUUUAAUAAUCUGUUAUCUUGGAAAACCGAAAUGCAUUUAAUUACCAGGUUUCAUUCAACACAAACAUCUAAUACAAGGCACCAAUUCGUAAUUCCUCAUUUGGUUCCUAUUGUUUCAAUAAAUCCCAAUCAACCAAACUUGUUACCAAAUACUUAUAUACUAAACUAUGACCAAAUGUAAUAUCACCAGUCCAAAACAAUUUCAGCAGUCCAUAACAAUUUCAGCAGUCCACAGUACACAUUCAAUCCAUAUCAGUUAGCAAUAAUCCUAAUUUAGCAAGUCAUAAUACAAUGUUCAAUCACUUUAAACCAAACAAUCACAUCAACUGAAUCUAAAUCUAGGAUGAAACUUCAUUUAACUCCAACUUAGAGGUUACACUAGGGGGUUUUUGAGACAUGUACCUGGAUAUGAAAUGAACAAAGAGAAUGAAGAGAGAGUCAGCCCCAGCAAAUGCAACAGUAGCGGCACAAACAACUUUCAACAAUAGCAAAUCGCCACCAGCCCCAACAGCUUAAUUCCACAACCCAGAAUUGAUUCGAAGAAAUCCUAGUAUUAAAAUAGACCAAACAAACAAAAAACAAACCUAGAAUAUCCUUGAAGCUUUCAAUAGACCACAAACUCAACUGGACUAGCUUGACUGAUCUCAAAUUCACUCAAAAAUGCCUAGACAGACAUCAAAUCUAAAUUAGACCCGAUUCUGAAAUCAUCAGAUGAUAAAACAGCCUAAAAUAGUCCCACUUAAACCCAAAUUCAGUCGAAAUCAAUCAAUCACACCUCUGAAAUUUCCUGCUUCUAAGUAUUGAUCUAGGAACUCCUAUAUUAGAUCGUGAACUACAUAAAUGAAAGCCAACAUACACCAAUAACUUGAAAUUAAACUGAAAUACUAAUGGAACAGUAACCUUUUUUUUCUUUUUUAUCAGAUCUUCUAUUGCUUUUGAUUUUGCAGUUUUCUGGGAUUUUCUAUUGUUUUUUUUUUUGGAUUUUUCUUUUUUUGAUUUGAACUUAAAAGACUGAAUCUGAAACUAAAAAAAUGAAGGAAAGAGUUUUUAUGUGUGAUUAUUAGGGCUGAAGAGUUCCCCUUUGUUAAAGUACUAUUCAAUGCUUUUUAUAGGUAAAAUAUAGGGAAACCUCAGAUUUUUAAUUUGCACUUUCAUCCCCUGCUUAUUUACAGCUUGGUCCCUUAAUUUUUAAAUUGAUCACCAAGUAAAACUUUUAAAAACUAAAUCUGCAUUUAUACCCUACUGUAGAAGCCUCUAGGAUACUCUUUUAACCCCAAAAAUACUAUACUACUCUUAACCCUACCUUGCAAUUACUAUUUUUCAAGAUACUACCCUUUUCCCAUGCCCAAACUACCCUUCCAACAGUCUGAAAAUUACAGACUAAAGCUAACCGAACCCAAUCUCUCACCCUAGUUAUGAUUCAACUAAAGUUAACUAGAAUCAACUAUUCCCAAUCAAUCUAACCUACUAAUUAGCACUAACCAUGACUGAAAAUACACUAAUACUUAACUGAAGCUAAACCAAAACGAGUUUCAAAUUUAACUUAUAACAAACAGGGUAAAAUGAAAGUCUAAUUACCCCAACGACUAAUUAACACUUAACAAAUGAGCAUUCAAAUUAUUCCAUAAUCAAAAUUGAACCAGAAUGAAAAUCAAUCUAAAAUGAAUUAAACCUAAACAUGGAUAACAAAUCAAAGAAGAAGAAUUUAUGCUAAAAUUUGAUUGAAAAACUACAACUAUGCUUAAUUGAAUAAACAAAUUAAAUUAACUAAAAUAGGAACCAAAGGACAAACAUAUAGAAAACUUACUGCUAACCAAUCUUCAAAGAAAUUCUGAAAACAACUUUGAGUUAAUAUUAUAGGUCUAUUUCAUAAGCAAUAGACCUAUGACAUUAAUUCGGAGUUGCUCGUCCUGAAAAAUCAACAAAGCAGUCGACCAUGCACGAACCCUAGAUGUGGAAUUGAAGGCGACAUGGGGGGAUUCGAAGUAAAAUAACCCUAGACUCGAGGUGAGGAAGAUCAAUAGACCAUCUGGUAUCAAUUUGGGAUUGUUUGGACGAAUUUGUGCCUUGGCUGGAAUUUUCAAACAAAUGUUUGAGGAUACUGGGCUUGAUUCGAGGGAAACUGUUAGCAUAUAUGGAAAGGGAAGGUUAAGGAGAAUGAGGGGUGUAAUUUUGGUGGUGAUUGGAGGCGGUGCCGCCACUGGUGGGAGUGAGGAUUUUAGGGUGGCGUUCUAGGGUUCUUCAGGAGAGGGGUCUGUGAAGAAGACGAGUAUGGGGUUGGAGGGGCGCUCGGACACUACUAUGUACAUGAACCCAAG
rnacentral:lncRNA from 1 species